CUGCGAGUUCGCGGGAGAGUAGGUUAUUGCCAGGGUUUUUUAUUUUAUACUUCAAAUCUUGAAUUUAUUUUUUAUGUUUUUAAAUGUUUAUUUUUUUGAGUGUUUGAUUUAAAAAAAUAAAAUAGAUAUUGACAUGGAUUAAACAAAGAUAUAUAUUAUUCUAUGUUGCAUAAACAAAUUGGCAAAGUAGAGAUGGAAGAUAAAAAUAUGGUCAAAGUAAUAAGAGUCUAUGGUGAAUGCCUAGGA
rnacentral:misc_RNA from 1 species